UACGUAGGGGCCUAGCGUUGUCCGGAUUUAUUGGGCGUAAAGAGCUCGUAGGCGGUUCGGUAAGUCAGGUGUGAAAUCUCCACGCUCAACGUGGAGGCGCCACCUGAAACUGCCGUGACUCGAGUCCGGUAGGGGAGUGUGGAAUUUCCGGUGUGAGCGGUGAAAUGCGUAGAUAUCGGAAGGAACACCAGUGGCGAAAGCGGCUUCCUGGUCCAGCACCGACGUUCAGGCACGAAAGCGUGGGGAGCAAACAGG
rnacentral:rRNA from 1 species